AAGGCUUCAGAGCAGUUGAGGGACUUGCUCAGGGUAACACAACCGGUCAGUAGCAGAGGCGAGAUUUAUAGUCUCUGCCUGCUAGGACAGUGCUGGCUUCAACUCUGCAGGAUCAGACGUUUAGGGACCUUGCCCCUCCGCGUUGCCCCUCCCCCUCGGCCCGCCCUCGCCGUGGGAGGGGGAGGGGAGCAGGAUCCCAGCAUCACUCCGGGGUUAGGUACACCACCUAACCAAGCACCCCUAAUCCCGCAGCCCCCUCGCUAGCGACCUCUGAAGGGCUUGGCGGAUUUGGGGCGCGGUGUGGCGAAGGGACCCACCCCGUCUGCCCGACUAUUUGCAUAACGGAGACUGCUCGUUUCCCCCGCCCCUUCGCCGCACUCUUCCCGCGUACCCUCCACCCCUCAUCUCCCGGCCCCUCUACUCCUCCCCAACAGACCCUCCUUCAGGGACUCCCAGCUCCCGGGCUGUCAGGCCGCCGCCGGGGGCGGCGUCCGGAGGCAUCCCAGGAAGGGGAGUCCUAGGCAAGGCCGGGCUGGGGAAGACGCCUGGGGCACUACCCGGUGCUAACAAAGGGAACCGGCAGCCUACCGGCUGGGGCGCAGAGCGGGCGGAGCAACCGCAGCUUCCGCGGCUGAGAGCGCAGCGAGAGGGGAAACGGAGGCCGGGAGAGUUCAGUUCCUUGUACCAAGUUUCAACCCAUGUGAAGUUGGCCACCUAGAGAGGACAAGAGCCUGAGUCUCCGACUCCCCCAUGGCGCAUUGCCGAGCAGCGACUGAAGACAGAACCCGGAAUCUGUGGUUGGCUGGAAAGGCAGUGGCCUUAGGCAGAACAGUUAAACAAAUAAUGUAAUUCAGAUUGAAAGCUGCACCCUUCCAUUAUGCCUUUCAAGAGUUCUAUCCAUUUGAGAGAAGAUAGAUUUAGUAAUUCCUCACUCUCCUUCUAGCCUUUCAUAAGCCUAGUUAGUUUUCUCUUCUGGCUGCCCCUUCUCCUCAAGCUGGAGUCCAGCCAGCUGUGGAGACUUAGAUGUUUUGCCUCUCAUCCUUGUGCCAGGAGGCCUUUGUUUGGGCAUAAGCACACAGGGUAGAAAGUGUCUCCUAGGGCAGUAUUCCUGAGUCACUUGUGGGAGAACAAAGCAUUGUUUUCACUGAUUUUAUUUAAUUAAGUUUUUAGAGAUGAGAGUCUCACGGAAGUAGCUUUUUAAUUUUGUAUUUGUCAGGGAAACAUUGGAAAACCAAAGACAUCACUUUGAGUCUGGGUUUCCCCAAAGUGCUGUUUCACCCUGUUCCUCUUACCUCCUAACUACACUGGUUUCUCUUAAGGUUUCUAGGGUGUUUCAUUUUUGUGGUAAUUCCACUUAACACUUGAAUAUGGUUCUCAUCAGAGCGCUCACCCUGUAAGGAACUUAGAAAUCAGCUGGCCUGUUUUUCUAAAUGAAAAAACUGAAGCUCAGUGAGAAAUCACUUGCCCAGGGACACACAACAAGGUGUCUGCUGUUAGUGCCCUUUUUGCGCUUUAGCGAAACUUAUGUCAAAUGAGUUUUUUGUUGGUACCCCAGUGUACAGUCAAAGUUAUGAUGGUUGUUACAACAACACAUUUUUAAGUCAGAGAGUGAAUUCCUUAAGGACUUACACAGGUUUUGGUUAUUAAACAAAACCAUGGAUCCCAGUGGUAGAUUCAGUGAGGAGUAUUAUAUUAAUAGUUUUCAUUGGGGAUUGGUUUUCUUUAGUGUUUACUAAGUGGUUCUCUUUACUCUUGCCCUGGGUUUCCCCACAUUCCUCUGCCUCCUGCUCCUCCAGUAGGGAAGUGCUUUAAAGUAUGAUCACAGAAUGAAAGGCAGCGGGAAGUCAGAAGAGAGACCCUCCUUAGCUCUUCAUGCUAUUUAACUUCUUGGGUUCCAGUGUUCCUUGUGCAGUGAGAGUCCUUCCUGCCCAGUCUCUGCACAGGCUGUUUGGAUGGAGUGGAAGUUGCUCAGCCUUUAGAGGUGGAGAGUCCGGUUGGGUCAACCCUCCUCUCCUGUGUUCCUUGUGGACUGCAUCCACACAGUGUCAAGGGAAGAACAUGUAUGCAUCUCCCAGGGGUGUGGCGGGUAGUAAAUCAUGUGAUGCAUGCUUAUUCAGACCUCCCAGCAGGGUUGAGUGCUCAUCAGCUUUUUAGUGGGAGAGAAUGAUGAUGGGAAGAUAACCCCAUUGGGUGAGCCCUGUGCUCAAAGGAAGAGGCCCAGCCUGGUCACAAACAAGGCGAAAUGUCUGCCAGACUGUUAAAAGGGUCUUUGGGUGGUUGUGCAGUGUGUGUGACUUUAAGGUAAAUAAACCUAGUUUGAAAAAAAAAAAAAAAUCCAGAAAUUUCAUGCCCAGGUGAGUGCAAUCUAGUCUUUCCAUCCAUUUACUCCAUACUUACUGACAAGCACGCAGGUGGGGGCAGGGGUGGUUCCUAUGCUGGGCCUGGAGUUACAAAGAACCAGAUCCACUUGUUGGCCCCCCACCAUCCUUGCUUGGAAUGCAUUUGGAAAACUGCCCUCAGGAACCCACAGAAAAUAGAUCUAAUUUAUCUCAAAAUUGACCUCUGCAGGAGUAGGAUUGUCUCUUUUCGUCAAGUCAAACCAAGAGCAGGUGGUAAAUGAGAGAGUGGAAAAGGGAAGGCUUCCAAGAGAAGGUGGAUCUCCACAAGUAUGGGGACGUGGUUGCAUUACAGAGUGUCGGAAAUAAUUCAUUAGUGAAAUUUGCAGUAAUCUUCUGGAACAUAAACUCUUGAGAAUUUGCUUAGAUUUGGUGUCAGUGACUUACUCAGUAAGAACCAAAUUGGGGAAAAACAUAUAUUUUUCUUGCUUGUCUGCAUUGUAUACUGACUUGAAUAGAUGUGCUUUCUAUAGUUGUACAUGAAACAGUAACAUAGUAAGCAACAAAGUGUCAGCACAUUGAAAUACUGGGGUGAUUUUCUGAGUCAUGACUAGAAGAAUCAGGUUAGCCUUUAGAAUCAGUUUAGUGAUUAAAUUUUGUUUAUCAUUCUGAUUAUAAAAAUACAGCAUGCCCAUUGAGGACAAUUUGGAAAGUACAAAUAAGGAUAGAGAAAUAGAAAAAAAAUUCUAUUAUUCAAAGGCAACCACGGUUAAUGUUUGCAACUUUCCUUCUUGUCUGUUUUUUUUUGUUUGUUUUUUUUUUAGUGGAUUUGUUUUCUCUAAAUGGUAGAGAACUUACUGCUUGUGCAGUUACUCUUGACUUUUUUGCUUAGUCUUUUCAUGUACCCAUGUCACAGUUUAUAUUCACAUUAAACCUGUACCUUUUCAUUCAUCAACAUAUCAGCAUCUCCAAGGUCACAUGGUCCCAUGGGAUCCAAUCACUCCAGUGAUCAUUUCAGUGAAGGCCUGCAGAGGAAAGAGUCUCCAGCUUCUUCUCCUUUUCCUAGCUGUGCCUCAAGCAUCCAGAUACCAGCCGUUUAAAAUAUAUAUAUAUAUAUAUAUUUCAUGUAAGAAGACAGCUAAAGUCUAGUGGAGAGAGAAGGACCCUGGUAUGGCCUUGAGUUCUAGUCCUGCCCUUGUGACAACUUACUUUAACAGCUUGGUUUUCUGUUUCUGUAUGUAUUAAAAUAAGCAACCCCAGGGUCAUUUGUUAGCUCAUUCCUUGCAUCUUCCAGUGCCCAUUCUAAACCAAAGCUGUAUAAGAAGAGCUCAUGAUCCAGCAGAGGAGUUGGAGUAGCAAGAGACCAGUGCAAGGUGCCCUGGGAAUGCAGAGGAGGGGCAGCCACCCCAGACUGGGACAGUGGGGAAGGCUUCCUGGAUAAGGGCUGUCAUGGGCUUGUUCAACUACUUCAGAUCCUUUAUUGAAUUACCCCUGAGAUUAGCAUGUUUGUGAUAAAUCUCUUUCCACAUUCCAGAUAAUUCCCAUAGGAUACAAUCCUAAACUUGGAAUUACUGGGUCAUACUUCAAAGACUAUCAUCAUUUUUAAAAAGUUUGUAGAUUCAGUCCUGGUUGCCUAUGAAGUUUUAAAGUACCUAAGUAUUUUGUAUUGUGGAAAAGGUAGAAAUUGAGAGCAAGUAAUUCAGGAUUUGAAUUACUUGUGUACCAGUUAUCACCAAUAUAGACGUCUACAAGCUACUUAAGCUCAUGAAGCUUCAAUUUCCUUCUCUGUAAAAUGGACAUAACUGCCUCACCUCACUGGAUCAUUGUAAGGAUUUUUAGAAAGAAUUUUAUUUUUAAAAAAUAUUUUAAUUUUUCUUCGCUUAUUUUUUAAAUGUUUAUUUAUUUAUUUGUGGCCGUGCUGAGUCUUUGUUGCUGCGUGGACUUUUUUCCAGUUGCGGCGGGUGUGGGCUGCUCUCUAGUUGCAGCGCACGGGCUUCUCACUGCGGUGGCUUCCUCUUGCUGAGCAGGCUUAGGCUUCUCACUGCGGUGGCUCCCUCUUGCUGAGCGGGCUUAGGUGUAUGGGCUGCAGUAGUUGUGGCUUCCAGGCUCGAGGGCACAGUAGUUGAGGUUCACAGCCUUAGUUAUCCCAAAGCAUGUGGGCUCUUCCUAGAUCAGGGAUCAAACCUAUGUCCCUUGCAUUAGCAGGUGGAUUCGUUACCUCUGAGCCACUACGGAAGCCUCCAUUAUAAAUCCUAGAUAAAGGGUCCAGUAUAGUGCCAGGUUUACAGGAAGCACUCCAUAAGUGAUGUCUGUUGUUGUUAUAAUUGAAAUUUUCACAAGCUGCAGAGACUGUGGUCCUAAUAUUUUUUCUUACCAUGAUAGCAGGUAGGAAAUUAAUUAAGGUGGGGUCUCCUACCAGGUGACAAAUUGAGAGAAAUGAUCACUGGUGUGAUGCAUUACAAGUCUUCUUACGGAAAGUUUCAAACACACAAACGUAGAAAGAAUGGUGUAAUUACCCCCCUUUCCCCAUUUAUAAUCACUUAUCUUCAAUAAUUAUCAAAACUCAUAGGGUCUUCAACCUCACAUUUGACCCUACAUGACUUUGAAAUAAGUCCCAGACAUUUUUUUCAGCUCAGCCAUAAAUAUUUCACUGAGUUAGUUGCAUGAAGCAUAUUUGAGGCAUUGGGUGAAAUGCCAUAUUUGAGGCUCGUGGAGCCUGUGUCUGCUGUCAGUGUUACAGAUGGAACCCUGUGUGUGUGUGUGUGAGAGAGAGAGAGUGACAAAGAGAGAGAGAGAAAGUUUUAGUGCUCAAGUGAAUUUUCCUGCCAUGACCUGUGUCUGUCUCAAAGUGAAAGUCGCUCAGCCGCUCAGUGUCUGACUCUUUGUGACCCCAUGGACUAUACAGUCCGUGGAAUUCCCCAGAUCAGAAUACUGGAGUGGGCAGACUUUCUCUUCUCCAGGGGAACAAAGACACAGGGUAAAAGGAACGCUGAAUUUAGUCAGGAGACCUGAUUUGCAAUAGGGCACCAACAUUUACCAGUUGUAUAUUUUGUCAAGUGACUUCUGAGUUUCUUUGAAUAUAUUUCUAAAAAUUUGAUGAGUAGCAAAUGAGGUAAUCCACGUACAGCUCUAGCAACUCAAUAUUAGUUGACUCUGCAUCACACCUGAACCCAGCCUUACAGUUCCCGAGAGGCAG
ensembl:lncRNA